AUUGAACGCUGGCGGCAGGCUUCACACAUGCAAGUCGAACGAGAGGCGGACGGGUGAGUAAUGCUUGGGAAUCUUGCUUAUGGAGGAGUAUAACUACGGGGAACUAUAGCCAAUACCGCGUAACACAGGAUGUGCCCAAGUGGGUUUAGGUAGUUGGUGAGGUAACGGCUCACCAAGCCGACGAUCUCGAGCUGGUAUGAGAGGAUGACCAUCCACACUGGGACUGAGACACGGCCCAGACUCCUACGGGAGGCAGCAGGGGGGAAUAUUGCGCAAUGGGGGCAACCUGACGCAGCCAUGCCGCGUGAAUGAAGAAGGCCUUCGGGUUGUAAAGUUCUUUCGGUAGCGAGGCGUUAACUACAGAAGAAGCACCGGCUAACUCCGUGCCAGCAGCCGCGGUAAUUC
rnacentral:rRNA from 1 species